rnacentral:lncRNA from 1 species
GCAAACCACAGCAUCCGCUGCAGCAUCAACUGCACGAGCAGCCUGGGAACGGGGCUGUGCAGCAAGCGAGAACUUCGGUGGCUGAUGAGAAAGCGGAGCACCCCUCGUUCCCAGCCCGCUCCUCCUCCCACUGCACGCAAUGGUUGCAGGACAUCUUGAGGCUGAUUGCGGAGGUCAGGACUCAACUGGAAAGACCGCAACGGGUUGCUGACUGGCAUCCACGGCCCAGAUAAGAUAAAAACAACUGAUGACAGCGGGGAAGUGAAACAGUCAUCUCAGCACUUGGAUUAAUGCCCGGCGAGAAGGAAGGGGAAAAAAAACGAGGAGGGCCGUCAGGGAGGGGAAGGGGGUGGAAUACGGAUGAGAAUAGAAACUCUGGAAAAAAGCUAUCAGGAGGCAGCAGAGCCGGGUGUUAAAUAUUUAUGAAUUAGCAGCACUCGUCGUGCCCUGCCUGCGCCGUGUGGGUGCUGAGAGGGAUGGGGAUGAGGGGAGCAUGUGGCCAUGGCUGGGCUGCAGCAGCACCACGCAGAACAAAUGCAGGUGAAGAGAAGGAGAAAUGAGGCGCUACGAAAGCCGCUAUUCCAAAAAUUCUGCUGAAGAGCAGCGGGGUAAUUAAAUCAUAAUUGCUUCUUGCUCAGCCUGUGUGACAUUGUGAGUGGCUGAAGGUGGUGAGGAGAGGAGGGGAAGUUUUGCUGCUGCUCCACUCGCAAUGGGGCAGCCCCAGACCUGCUGGGCCCCAACGCUCUGCCCCCGCCCUCUGCUCCGGGCUGGGUGCUGCCUCCCGCUGCAUCCCACUCUGUGCUGUGCUGGCACAGCCCUGGUAUGUGCCAGACCUGAGUGUGAGGAGCUGAAGUGCCAAAUCCGAGAGCUUUGGAGGAGUCAUUCCCAACCGUGAGACAAACAGCCUGCAAAUCCUGUAGGCAGUGAAUUACACUGCGGUGUUGUGUAACGUUUAAGGGGCUGAUGUGACCUGGCAGCAUGAAGGACACUUAGGGCUCAGGCUUAAAAACCUGAACCUUCGCAGCACGUGGCUCCAGGGUGGGUUUUCUCUUCCCCACCGUAGCAGCUGCACUGGGAUCAGAGACUCUUUUCAACUCUGUGGACGUUCCGAGUUCUGCUGAAGUUUCCUCCUUUUUGUUUCAAAGUCACAGAAACACUUGGUGCGUUCCGAAGCGCACUGGAAUGAGGUCCUCCUGCACGUGGGUACAGUUGAGCAGCAGUUCGGAGGUGACGCGGGGAUGCUGGGAUGCAGGGUGCAGGACAUCCCCAGGCUGUGGGCACUGCGGGGGAUGCAGCUCUGCAGCCCCUUACCAACCAUCCCAUCCAUUCUGCUGGGAGCAUGGGAUAAGACCCGCUGUGGUGCUCCCACUUCCAUGGAAAAGAGCAUCCCUGCUGUGGUGGGCUGGAGAAUAACUGUGCAGCUCGUGGGAAGCUCCGGCCUUUGGCACUGUGAGGGAAGGUUGAGCAGGUUGUGCUCCCACCUGGUGUAAUUGUUUCUUCGGUAGCUGUAAGGACUUGCCUGUUGCUCCUCCCCAUCCCUCUCGCCAUGCAGAUGGGGUGUCCCUACCUGGGAUCCCAGUGGGCACCAGUGGGAGUGCUGUGCCCACAGCUGAUCCUGGCACCGGCUGGAAGGCAAUGGGAGGAGGAAAAGGGCUCUGGCGACGCAGACAAUAAAAGUCUCUGCGUUCCACUGAAGUUUCUUGAGCAACUGGCAUUUGCCCAUAAAUGUACUUAAGCAGAAAAUCACCAGAAAAGUGCUAUAAUCUGACAGAUUUUUCACAGGCUUAAAUAUUCAUGAAUUAAAAGAAUUGGCAGAAUUUUCUACAUUAUUAGCUUUCAGCAUGGCUACGGGAGCAGUUGGUGCACUGGCUGCUCUUCAAAAACUAUUAAUCUAGUCUGUCAUCACAGCAGCCAUUUUUUAAUUAGCUACUUUGCUGAACGAUCUGGUGCAGCAGCGAGACUGGAACAUUUACGUGGUAUUAAAGUUUUAAAGGUGCCCCUUUCCAUUUUUAAGCAAAGUUCUGAAACGCAGCAAUAGGGAAGCGAGGCGGAGGCGGAUCGCCCCGCUCCAAUGGUUAACUGCUGCUUUUAUUUUGGAAAACCACGGCUUGGAAUACUGAGCUGCUUCUAUGAGGAGCAGAAAUUGCGUGAAAUAAAUUGGUUCUCUAAACUGAAGUUCACAGCAUUCCUUCCCCAUGAAAUCAAAAGGAGAUGUUUG